CCACCCCCGUUCGUCACAUGUAACCAGGAGGCAUCUCGGGGCCAAGGCCAGGCCUGGACCCAGUGUCCCUGGUGGAGGAGAUAGGGCUUCCGUGGCCAGCGAAGGCUCCUGAAGACCAGAGUGGCUGAGUUGUUUACCUGCUGGUUCCCUGCCAUAGGAACAGGUCACUGUCUCAGUUUGUAUGGAGGUGGCCCCUGGAGCCUCACUCUGCCCGUAGCUUGAAGGAGCCUCCUCUUCCAUGCUCCUCUGCCACGUCAUGGAGCCAGCCAUGGACUGAAACCUCUACAAACUGUGAGCCAAAGUCAACCUCUUCUUAAGUUAUGGAUGUCAGGUAUCAGGGAAGAGUCAGUGACUAAGAUAGUCAGCAGCUGGGAAAAACACGAGAGCAUUGAAUUUACUCGCUUGUGCAGCCACCCCCGUAUCAUUUAAGAGAUUUAGGAUACAUACAAAACAAUUAUUAUAGAGCAGAAUGCAGUUAUAGCAUACUUCAGGGGUAAC